rnacentral:tRNA from 1 species
UGCAUAGGCCGGAAUUCGAACCCGGGCCGCCCGCGUGGCAGACGAGCAUUCUACCACUGAACCACCGAUGC